rnacentral:lncRNA from 1 species
CCUUCGGGGGCUGAAUUUUGGGCGCGGGUGUGCCCGUGGCCUAUUUUUGGCACACGGAGGCCGCCCGCAAAGUCUGGGACCAUUCCGAGUCCGGCGGACGAACUUCGCCCACGCCCCCCACCAAGGCUAUAGCCCACCCGUUUUUUGGCCAUUUUUCCGCUGGGGGGUCUUGGCGCCCCGACCUUCGGGGGCUUAAUUUUGGGCGCGGGUGUGCCCGUGGCCUAUUUUUGGCACACGGAGGCCGCCCGCAAAGUCUGGGGCCAUUCCGAGUCCGGCGGACGAACUUCGCCCACGUCCCCCACCAAGGCUAUAGCCCACCCAUUUUUUGGCCAUUUUUCCGCUGGGGGGUCUUGGCGCCCCGACCUUCGGGGGCUGAUUUUUGGGCGCGGGUGUGCCCGUGGCCUAUUUUUGGCACACGGAGGCCGCCCGCAAAGUCUGGGGCCAUUCCGAGUCCGGCGGACGAACUUCGCCCACGCCCCCCACCAAGGCUAUAGCCCACCCGUUUUUUGGCCAUUUUUCCGCUGGGGGGUCUUGGCGCCCCGACCUUCGGGGGCUGAUUUUUGGGCGCGGGUGUGCCCGUGGCCUAUUUUUGGCACACGGAGGCCGCCCGCAAAGUCUGGGGCCAUUCCGAGUCCGGCGGACGAGCUUCGCCCACGCCCCCCACCAAGGCUAUAGCCCACCCGUUUUUUGGCCAUUUUUCAGCUGGGGGGUCUUGGCGCCCCGACCUUCGGGGGCUGAUUUUUGGGCGCGGGUGUGCCCGUGGCCUAUUUUUUGCACACGGAGGCCGCCCGCAAAGUCUGGGGCCAUUCCGAGUCCGGCGGACGAACUUCGCCCACGCCCCCCACCAAGGCUAUAGCCCACCCGUUUUUUGGCCAUUUUUCCGCUGGGGGGUCUUGGCUCCCCGACCUUCGGGGGCUGAUUUUUGGGCGCGGGUGUGCCCGUGGCCUAUUUUUGGCACACGGAGGCCGCCCGCAAAGUCUGGGGCCAUUCCGAGUCCGGCGGACGAACUUCGCCCACGCCCCCAACCAAGGCUAUAGCCCACCCGUUUUUUGGCCAUUUUUCCGCUGGGGGGUCUUGGCGCCCCGACCUUCGGGGGCUGAAUUUUGGGCGCGGGUGUGCCCGUGGCCUAUUUUUGGCACACGGAGGCCGCCCGCAAAGUCUGGGGCCAUUCCGAGUCCGGCGGACGAACUUCGCCCACGCCCCCCACCAAGGCUAUAGCCCACCCGUUUUUUGGCCAUUUUUCCGCUGGGGGGUCUUGGCGCCCCGACCUUCGGGGGCUGAUUUUUGGGCGCGGGUGUGCCCGUGGCCUAUUUUUGGCACACGGAGGCCGCCCGCAAAGUCUGGGGCCAUUGCGAGUCCGGCGGACGAACUUCGCCCACGCCCCCCACCAAGGCUAUAGCCCACCCGUUUUUUGGCCAUUUUUCCGCUGGGGGGUCUUGGCGCCCCGACCUUCGGGGGCUGAAUUUGGGGCGCGGGUGUGCCCGUGGCCUAUUUUUGGCACACGGAGGCCGCCCGCAAAGUCUGGGGCCAUUCCGAGUCCGGCGGACGAACUUCGCCCACGCCCCCCACCAAGGCUAUAGCCCACCCGUUUUUUGGCCAUUUUUCCGCUGGGGGGUCUUGGCGCCCCGACCUUCGGGGGCUGAAUUUUGGGCGCGGGUGUGCCCGUGGCCUAUUUUUGGCACACGGAGGCCGCCCGCAAAGUCUGGGGCCAUUCCGAGUCCGGCGCACGAACUUCGCCCACGCCCCCCACCAAGGCUAUAGCCCACCCGUUUUUUGGCCAUUUUUCCGCUGGGGGGGCUUGGCGCCCCGACCUUCGGGGGCUGAAUUUUGGGCGCGGGUGUGCCCGUGGCCUAUUUUUGGCACACGGAGGCCGCCCGCAAAGUCUGGGGCCAUUCCGAGUCCGGCGGACGAACUUCGCCCACGCCCCCCACCAAGGCUAUAGCCCACCCGUUUUUUGGCCAUUUUUCCGCUGGGGGGUCUUGGCUCCCCGACCUUCGGGGGCUGAUUUUUGGGCGCGGGUGUGCCCGUGGCCUAUUUUUGGCACACGGAGGCCGCCCGCAAAGUCUGGGGCCAUUGCGAGUCCGGCGGACGAACUUCGCCCACGCCCCCCACCAAGGCUAUAGCCCACCCGUUUUUUGGCCAUUUUUCCGCUGGGGGGUCUUGGCGCCCCGACCUUCGGGGGCUGAAUUUUGGGCGCGGGUGUGCCCGUGGCCUAUUUUUGGCACACGGAGGCCGCCCGCAAAGUCUGGGGCCAUUCCGAAUCCGGCGGACGAACUUCGCCCACGCCCCCCACCAAGGCUAUAGCCCACCCGUUUUUUGGCCAUUUUUCCGCUGGGGGGUCUUGGCGCCCCGACCUUCGGGGGCUGAAUUUUGGGGGCGGGUGUGCCCGUGGCCUAUUUUUGGCACACGGAGGCCGCCCGCAAAGUCUGGGGCCAUUCCGAGUCCGGCGGACGAGCUUCGCCCACGCCCCCCACCAAGGCUAUAGCCCACCCGUUUUUUGGCCAUUUUUCCGCUGGGGGGUCUUGGCGCCCCGACCUUCGGGGGCUUAAUUUUGGGCGCGGGUGUGCCCGUGGCCUAUUUUUGACACACGGAGGCCGCCCGCAAAGUCUGGGGCCAUUCCGAGUCCGGCGGACGAACUUCGCCCACGUCCCCCACCAAGGCUAUAGCCCACCCAUUUUUUGGCCAUUUUUCCGCUGGGGGGUCUUGGCGCCCCGACCUUCGGGGGCUGAUUUUUGGGCGCGGGUGUGCCCGUGGCCUAUUUUUGGCACACGGAGGCCGCCCACAAAGUCUGGGGCCAUUCCGAGUCCGGCGGACGAACUUCGCCCACGCCCCCCACCAAGGCUAUAGCCCACCCGUUUUUUGGCCAUUUUUCCGCUGGGGGGUCUUGGCGCCCG